GGACCUGACUGCUAUCGGAUUGAUACUAAGCCAUGCGAGUCAUUGUAGCAAUACAAGGCAGACGGCUCAGUAACGCGUAGUCAACCUACCCUAUGGACGGGGAUAACCUCGGGAAACUGAGAAUAAUACCCGAUAGAACAUUAUACCUGGAAUGGUUUAUGUUUCAAAUAAUUUAUUGCCGUAGGAUGGGACUGCGGCCUAUCAGUUUGUUGGUGAGGUAAUGGCCCACCAAGACUAUUACAGGUACGGGCUCUGAGAGGAGUAGCCCGGAGAUGGGUACUGAGACACGGACCCAGGCCCUAUGGGGCGCAGCAGGCGAGAAAACUUUGCAAUGUGCGAAAGCACGACAAGGUUAAUCCGAGUGGUUUCUGCUAAAGGAACCUUUUGUCAGUCCUAGAAACACUGUUGAAUAAGGGGUGGGCAAGUUCUGGUGUCAGCCGCCGCGGUAAAACCAGCACCUCAAGUGGUCAGGAUGAUUAUUGGGCCUAAAGCAUCCGUAGCCUGCUUUGUAAGUUUUCGGUUAAAUCCAUACGCUCAACGUAUGGGCUGCCGGGAAUACUGCAAAGCUAGGGAGUGGGAGAGGUAGACGGUACUCGGUAGGAAGGGGUAAAAUCCUUUGAUCUAUUGAUGACCACCUGUGGCGAAGGCGGUCUACCAGAACACGUCCGACGGUGAGGGAUGAAAGCUGGGGGAGCAAACCGGAUUAGAUACCCGGGUAGUCCCAGCUGUAAACUAUGCAAACUCGGUGAUGCAUUGGCUUGAUGCCAAUGCAGUGCCGCAGGGAAGCCGUUAAGUUUGCCGCCUGGGAAGUACGUACGCAAGUAUGAAACUUAA
rnacentral:rRNA from 1 species